ACAGUCACACAUUAGACUACCCGGUAGUCCCAGCCGUAAACUAUGUGCGUUAGGUGUAUCGGUGACCACGAGUCACCGAGGUGCCGAAGGGAAACCGUGAAACGUGCCGCCUGGGAAGUACGGUCGCAAGGCUGAAACUUAAAGGAAUUGGCGGGGAGCACCACAACGGGUGGAGCCUGCGGUUUAAUUGGACUCAACGCCGGGAAGCUCACCGGAUAAGACAGCGGAAUGAUUGCCGGGCUGAAGACUCUGCAUGACUAGCUG
rnacentral:rRNA from 1 species